rnacentral:rRNA from 1 species
GACGAACGCUGGCGGCGUGCUUAACACAUGCAAGUCGAACGGAAAGGCCCUGCUUUUGUGGGGUGCUCAAGUGGCGAACGGGUGAGUAACACGUGAGUAACCUGCCCUUGACUUUGGGAUAACUUCAGGAAACUGGGGCUAAUACCGGAUAGGAGCUCCUGCUGCAUGGUGGGGGUUGGAAAGUUUCGGCGGUUGGGGAUGGACUCGCGGCUUAUCAGCUUGUUGGUGGGUAGUGGCUUACCAAGGCUUUGACGGGUAGCCGGCCUGAGAGGGUGACCGGCCACAUUGGGACUGAGAUACGGCCCAGACUCCUACGGGAGGCAGCAGUGGGGAAUAUUGCACAAUGGGCGGAAGCCUGAUGCAGCAACGCCGCGUGCGGGAUGACGGCCUUCGGGUUGUAAACCGCUUUCGCCUGUGACGAAGCGUGAGUGACGGUAAUGGGUAAAGAAGCACCGGCUAACUACGUG